CUAAGUGAUGAAAACAUAUUUUACACAGACCUGUACUGAACUUUGUCAUGCAGAUAAACGAUAUUGCCUUUUUUUUCUGAUU
rnacentral:ncRNA from 17 species